CUCUUGGAUGAUCUGCUCUGGGGAUAGUUGUGAGUAGGCCUGCAGCCCACAGCCAUGUGAGUGAGCCUUUUGAAGAGUGGACCUUCCAGGCCCAGUCAAGCCUUCAGAUAGUGGGACUCUGUGCUCAUGCCACUGGGCUUUUCUCCUCUUCUCUGCUGGAUUCUGCUGUUUCCCACAAGGUGUUCAGAGAGUCUGCC